rnacentral:rRNA from 1 species
AGAGUUUGAUCAUGGCUCAGAUUGAACGCUGGCGGCAGGCCUAACACAUGCAAGUCGAGCGGUAGAGAGAAGCUUGCUUCUCUUGAGAGUGGCGGACGGGUGAGUAAUGCCUAGGAAUCUGCCUGGUAGUGGGGGAUAACGUUCGGAAACGGACGCUAAUACCGCAUACGUCCUACGGGAGAAAGCAGGGGACCUUCGGGCCUUGCGCUAUCAGAUGAGCCUAGGUCGGAUUAGCUAGUUGGUGGGGUAAUGGCUCACCAAGGCGACGAUCCGUAACUGGUCUGAGAGGAUGAUCAGUCACACUGGAACUGAGACACGGUCCAGACUCCUACGGGAGGCAGCAGUGGGGAAUAUUGGACAAUGGGCGAAAGCCUGAUCCAGCCAUGCCGCGUGUGUGAAGAAGGUCUUCGGAUUGUAAAGCACUUUAAGUUGGGAGGAAGGGCAGUUACCUAAUACGUAAUUGUUUUGACGUUACCGACAGAAUAAGCACCGGCUAACUCUGUGCCAGCCGCCGCGGUAAUAC